AUUAAAAUUCUCUAUCAAAAUCAAAUAUCGUUGUAACUUUAGUUACAAAAAUGUCCGCGUGAGGACGUUGUGGCGGUUUAUUACUAAGCAAGUUUUCGCAUGACACGUCCUUGAAUAGUGUUACGUGUCACAUUGAAACGAGCGGUAGUGUUUGUCGUCCGCGUAAAAACCGUUGUAACUUGAAAUAAGACACUAAUACAGAAAAGGCUUGAAUAAUGAGGAGAGUCGACAGAAUAUUGGAUUUGGCAAAAGCAAUAAAGGACGAAGAAUCCGAUAAUAUACGAGAGAAAGAGAAUAUUGAGCCUACCGUUUCGCCUUCAAUAAUACAUUCUACUCAUGGCGCUAAUCCUAUACAUGUAUUGUGUAAUUAAAUUUGAUAAUUUAAAUUCCAUUACGCACAAAUUUCUCAUUACCGGUCAUACACAAAAUGAAGGGGAUGCCGUACAUUCGGUUAUUGAAAAGAGUAUCAAAAGGCAUCUCAAAUCCGGGCCUAUUUACGAACCUUCACAGUAUAUACAGAUUAUGAAAGGUGCUAAAAAAUCUGGUGAGAAAUAUAACGUCAACGAAUUGUCUUACCAUGAUUUUAUAUCUUUGAAAAAGUUGGCAAUCGACUUGAAAAUGAAAACAAUAACAAAAAUUUCUGAAAUGAAAGUUAUUAAAAUUGAGGCUGAAUCCCCGGAUAUUUUGUACUACAAAAAUUCUUUUGCUGAUGAAGAUUUUUCUACAUUAAAACUAUUAAAAACCAUUCCUAUAUUACCUCCUUUGAAGCCUGCUUAUUUGGGACCAAUUUUAUUUAAGUGAAAAUAAAAAGUCUGAUUUAAAAAGUCUGUUAAAGUCUAAUCAUAUACCUAAGUUCUAUGAAGGAUUUUAUAAAAGUCUUUUCCAAGAUAAUGAUUAAGUGUUGUUUACUAAGUAUGUUCUGUAGGCUGUGAUUAUUUUACUAAGAUUACUAGCAAGGGUAUUAUUGAUAAGAGGAUUAUUGAUUAUGUCAUUAAGUACAAAAAUUUUAUUAGUUUCAUAGAAGAGCGAAGUAAUACCUAGUAAUAAGGUAUUUUUUUCGAAGAUUUUUAAAGAUUUUUAAGUUUUUUUUUUGUGUUCUCAUAAUUGUAGGUUGUGUUUUUUGUUACUACGAGUAUUAUUACUGUACGGGUAUUGAUUAUGUGCCAUAUUUUAUUAACGUACCAAAUUGUCUCUCAUUAGAUUAAAGUGUAGUUUACGGAGCUUGAGAUAGAGAAACUAUCUAAAGUAACGAUUUAUUAAUAAUGUAAGUAUAAUAAAUAAUAAUUUUGUUAUAUUCAUUAUUGUUUGCUAAACUAUUUCAUUAAACUGAUUAAAAAAUAUAUAU